CCCUUAGAUGUUCUGGGCCGCACGCGCGCUACACUGAUCGGUGCAACAAGCAUCCGUCCUUGGCCGACAGGCCCGGGCAAUCUUUGAACGCCGGUCGUGAUGGGGAUAGACCUUUGCAAUUUUUGGUCUUCAACGAGGAAUUCCUAGUAAACGCAAGUCAUCAACUUGCAUUGAUUACGUCCCUGCCCUUUGUACACACCGCCCGUCGCACCUACCGAUUGAAUGGUCCGGUGAGACCUCCGGAUUGGCGCGUGCCCUCGGGCGCCGCCGAGAAGUUGGUUAAACCUUACCAUUUAGAGGAAGGUGAAGUCGUANCA
rnacentral:rRNA from 1 species